CUGAUGGCCUAACAUCUUAAAACCAGAGGCGGGCUUCCUGGUGUCGAGACGUCACUCUGCCGCGGCCCACCCCAACCCUCCCAGCCUCUGCCUCCGCCUCCUCCCAGACCCUUCGCCCGGGCCUGUCAAAUGAAUUCUGCGCUAAUCUGGAGAAGCUUUACUUUAAUUGCAAAGAAGACAGAGCCCUGAGAAGGCAGGCUAAUAAAUUAGAAAUCGAGAAGCAAAUGGACCCGUCAAAAGAAAAAUUACCUCGACUUUAAAGGAACAACUGGUGGUUCAGUCUGGAUUUAUACAAGAAUAAAAAGUCGCCUCAGA